rnacentral:rRNA from 1 species
GAUGAACGCUGGCGGCGUGCCUAAUACAUGCAAGUCGAGCGAACGGACGAGAAGCUUGCUUCUCUGAUGUUAGCGGCGGACGGGUGAGUAACACGUGGAUAACCUACCUAUAAGACUGGGAUCACUUCGGGAAACCGGAGCUAAUACCGGAUAAUAUUUUGAACCGCAUGGUUCAAAAGUGAAAGACGGUCUUGCUGUCACUUAUAGAUGGAUCCGCGCUGCAUUAGCUAGUUGGUAAGGUAACGGCUUACCAAGGCAACGAUGCAUAGCCGACCUGGGAGGGUGAAGGGCGCCACUGGAAGUGGAACACGGUCCAGACUCCUACGGGAGGCAGCAGUAGGGAAUCGUCGGCAAUGGGCGAAAGCCUGACGGAGCAACGCCGCGUGAGUGAUGAAGGUCUUCGGAUCGUAAAACUCUGUUAUUAGGGAAGAACAUAUGUGUAAGUAACUGUGCACAUCUUGACGGUACCUAAUCAGAAAGCCACGGCUAACUACGUG